AGGCUGGUAUACUAUCGGUAGCACGGAGGCCUUCGUGCUAUCAAGUUGUUUUCAAUGAUGCGGCUACUAUACUCUUAUGAGUAUAAAAUCCUUCAUACUCAUAAGUUGUUUUCGAUGAUGGAGCUUCCGAAUCGACGAUCCACUUCGUUAAAUAUGAUUUAGAGUAUUUGAAGCUUUUAGAAAAUAAAUUUCGUAAUUUUUUAAAAUCAUAAUAAAGUCCAUCAAGUGGGUAUGAAAUGAACAGUCGAAAUCAAACGACGUCCUAAAAAUGGAUGAUCGGAUCCUUCAAUUUAAGAUCGGAGUUAUUGAUCUUUAUCUAGGUAAUGAAUAAAAUUUUCUAUCAAAAAUUCAACUGAUUUCGAUUCUUUUACACCGUUAAACUACUAAGUAUCCCACACCGGUCAUUAAAAAUUGUCAAUUUUGUGACCGUUUGAUCUUAAGGUAAAUGAUGUCAAAAAAUUAUAAAUUUUGAUUUUUGGAAGUUUUAAAUACUCUAGAUAAUGUUUAAUGGUAUGGAUCGUCGAUUCGGAAGCUCUAUCAUCGAAAAUGACUUAUGAGUACGAGGGCGAUCGUACUCAUAAGAGUAUAGUAGCCGGACUAUAUAUAUAUAUAUAUA
rnacentral:lncRNA from 1 species